CGAGUGAUGAGUCCAAAGAGCGAGGCCGCGCGAGUCCGCUGAACCAGCCUCACUUCUUUACUGGCUGGCUAGCAGGCUACUGCAUUCUCUCUGCAGCUCAUUUUCUCCCUUGGCCUCCAGGCAUACAUCUGUCUUUAACACUGAGAUUAUCUUUCCCUGUGUAUUUUGUUUCUCCUGCCAUAAACGCCUUCAGAAUCUAUACUGUUGGCUCACGUGAGACUCCUUCAUAGCUCCUUGUGACUAUCAUCUUCCCCCCACAAACCCAUUCAUCACCUUAGACUGCAGUUCCAGGGUCUGUUGGACCUUUCUGGUAUUUAGAACUCUGGGGUCCCCACCUUGGUUCGGACUAGAUGUGUGCCUUCUCAUUCUCUUGUAUUUCUUCAUAAAUCUGUGCUCUUUGGCCCUUGUUCUUCCAGCCAACUCUUGGCCAUUCAGCCUAGACCCAGUAGUCAGUCAUUUCAAAGCUAUUCUCUUUAUGUGCCUGGCAUUGCCCACACUGUUGUGUGUGAUAGAUAACAGGCUCAAUACAAUUUAACCCUUGCUUAUAAUCUAACUUUAUAGUCCAGUAACAAUAAACUCACACCCUAAUUAAGUAUAUUUGGAAUAUGCGUUAUUCUCUGUAAAACCAGUUUUUAUAACAGUUUCUUCUAUAGAAAAUUUACUUCAAUCAUUUGCCCACCUUUCUAUAAUUUAGGCUAGGAAUCACUGCUUGGAAUAAACAUCGGUUAGAAUAAACUCGAUUUGAAUGCCGCCCUCUUGAAAGAAAUUAGUGUUGAGUGAGUGGUUUUAAUAAUAGUAUUACUAGCCUUAGCCAUGGGAUAUGCAUGCCAAAGAAUAGAUGCUGAUUAUUCAACAGUCUAUUGUAAUGUUAAUUUACUGAUACAGAAGAUUCUUCCUUUGGAGAACUGUGAAAGCACUUGAUACACAGCACUUUUUAGCUGAAGUUAUGCCAACUCAAAUGAUGCUUCUUAAAAGAGU
rnacentral:lncRNA from 1 species